rnacentral:rRNA from 1 species
UGCAGCAGGCACGCAAAUUACCCACUCUCAGAACGAGGAGGUAGUGACGAAAAAUAACAAUACGGGACUAUUAAUAGGCCCCGUAAUUGGAAUGAGUACAAUAUAAAUCCUUUAACGAGGAUCUAUUGGAGGGCAAGUCUGGUGCCAGCAGCCGCGGUAAUUCCAGCUCCAAUAGCGUAUAUUAAAGUUGCUGCGUUUAAAAAGCUCGUAGUUGUAUCUCAGUUCAUGUCAAAAGGUCAAGCACUUAUUAGUGAUUACUUUUUGACUGAACAUUAAACCGAUUUGUUUACUGAUGCUCUUUACCGAGUGUUAUUAAGAAAUCGGAAUAUUUACUUUGAAAAAAUUAGAGUGCUCAAAGCAGGCAUUUUUCGCCUAAAUAUUCUUGCAUGGAAUAAUGGAAUAAGAUCUAGGUUCUAUUCUGUUGGUCUUUUGAACCUCAGUUAAUGAUUAAAAGGGACAGACGGGGGCAUUCGUAUUGCGGCGCUCGAGGUGAAAUUCUUGGACCGNCGCAAGACUACCG